GAACUAUGAAUAUUUUAUUACACAGUCAGCCAUUCCAGAGGCUCAAAAGUAAUCGUACAGACAUACAAACAUAACUGGAUUGUUUUAAAAGGUUGUUUGAAAAUCAUUUGCAGUCAUUCUCUCCCUAAAGUCUAUAUCCAACGGACCAAUGUCUUUGCGAAACAAAUUAUGGACCUAACUGUACGCGCCCACUCAUGUGUGUCCGUGCUAUGAGCCAUAAUUUAUAUUUCUUGUUAAAAUAUUAAGCAAUGAAAUUAAUUCCUAAAAAAAAAAAAAAAAAAAAAAAAAUCAGAUGGUACAUUUUGAAUAAAGACCAGCCUCCGAUGUCGUGUUUUUUCUCUCCUCAUCUUGCACUCUAUCUGUUGUGGUUAAAUGUUUUGACUCGUGUCUUGGAGUUUCAUCAGAGUCUCCAUACGAGCUAAACAAAUACCUCAUCUCUCUUACUCUCACUCUACUGCUCAACUACUGGCAGCUUAGCUUCAUCUUCACUGCAUUCAAGUGGCCUUCAGCAGGACUGACUGAGAAACAUUGUGUGUGCGUUGCAGCAGGAGGUCAAGGAAAAAAGGACAGAACAUGUUUGUGUGUGUUCAUGCAGGGGCCCAGUAUAGGAAGACAUCCUCUCACACGGGGUAAUAUUUGGACGUUUGAAGACUAUUUUCAUAACUUUUCAAGCUGAUUCGGCCUCCCAUAACUUGUGGUGACCACCCACACAAUGACCCUUCACUGCCAACAACAAACAUGCACACUCGCAUGUUCAAAACAACACCAGUGCACACACAUCGCUGUGCAAAUAGUAUGUAUGCAGGGCCUUCUUGUUCUUGCCCUCUCAUGAUAAACAUGAUACAUGUCUGCCUCAUUGCAUACACAAAUCAGACUCACUACUAGAUGUAAGAUGUUUAUGUAUGUGUUUUGUACAAUAGGUUACAAAACUUGGACAACUUCAGGGAUGAUAUAACUGGUUUUAAAUGUCCCAAACCACAAUGACUGCAUUUUUUAAUUUAUGUCACUAAUGUAGCCAUAAUAUAAUUCAAUAAAGUCAUAUUUUCAGCCAAAGCUUUUAUUUUUAAUCAUUAUUGUUUCAUCAAAACACCUUAAAGUGAGGUUAGAUGUUCCAGUUAGCUCUACAUCUCUGUCGUGUUUAUCUUCUUUUGCUUUGAUUUCUACUAGAUAUCAAUAAGUAAACAUGUUUUUUUUAUGAUUCAGUUGAACAUCUAUAGAUGAUCACACGUAUCACUGUAUUGAUGGACAGGAGGAUGGCGGAGGAUGACCAAUGAAUCUUACACAGUGCAAACAUACACACGGUGCAAGCGUGUGGAUCAGUCACCUGCCGAAAACAAGGAGUAAAAUCAAUAAUAUUAGCCGCAGUGACACACAAACACACUCACACACUAAGCCGACUGACUGACUUUAGGAUUAAAGCCAGAGUUCAUCGAGGAUUUCAGAGUGACGGGGCUUCUCUUCAAUGAAAACUGUAAGCACAAGAAUCCCAGAGGAAGGGACACUGCUGCAUAAACUUGGAUGCUGAUGAUGCACAUGACAAAAAAACAUGUUUGAGUUCUUUUUCAAUUUUUGCUCCUAUAGUUUUGAUGGUGUUUUUCCAGUACAGAAUAACCAUUCAUGGUUUAUGUAUGUACCACACAUACACUGCUGCAUUUUUUGGCAAUGAUUUUCAAUUAACACAACCGAGUAGCAGUUUAAAUGUUGGGAAUGGUGACAACCCGUGCACAGAAGACUAUAGUGGACAAAAAUAUAUUAGAUCCGUAGUGGUUUAGGACUCCCAAAGAGAAGGAAUUGGAAACAGUUUCGGUAAAUGGUAGGUGGAUUAGUUCUUAUAUAGCACUUUUCUAUUCUACCUGAGCACUCAAAGCGCUGUCCAGGGAAAGUUUUGAAGCUACAGUUUAGAAAAGUUCAGUAACUGUCAUGUGUUUGAAUAUUGUUUAAUUCCUGAGUCUGUUCAAGGAAAGCAGUUGAGGACGUUCCCAAGCACGUCACAGUCUGACGUUUAACAUUGAGAAUAAAAAGAUAUUGCCUCCCCGUCGGGGAAUCGAACCCCGGUCUCCCGCGUGACAGGCGGGGAUACUCACCACUAUACUAACGAGGAAGGUGUCUUCGGACUCGUAUGUUCCAGGACCGAUCGUGACUCAACUAUGUCCACAGUGGGAUAGUAUUCCCGUUUCCCCGUUUUGAUACGUUAAGUUGUACACGCCUGUAAUGUGUAUCAAGUGUUACGUGCAAAUAAUAGCGGACAGAGAUUAUAAUGACUAGAAGCCUCAACGCAGAGUUCUCUACCGUCAACGAAAGACAUAAAACCUCUUCCAAAACAACCAUAAUGAACGUAUCACGUAUAAACUACAACAGCGCCAGAAGACUAUAGUGGACAAAAAUAUAUUACAUCCGUAGUGGUUUAGGACUCCCAUUCCCAAGAAUUGGAAACAGUUUCGGUAAAUGGUAGAUUGAUUAGUUCUUAUAUAGCACUUUUCUAUUCUACCUGAGCACUCAAAGCGCUGUCCAGGGAAAGUUUUGAAGCUACAGUUUAGAAAAGUUCAGUAACUGUCAUGUGUUUGAAUAUUGUUUAAUUCCUGAGUCUGUUCAAGGAAACCCUGAAACAUUAAGGACCUUCCCAAGGAUGUCACAGUCUGACCUUUAACAUUAAAAGAAUAAAAAGGUAAUGCCUUCCCGUCGCGGAAUAUUUUUGGCCACUACGCUCUUCCGGCGCUGUUGCGAGUUUGAGAUGCGGCGGCACUUUUAAAAAAUCUCCACUUUUACCUUUCGGGAGAGAACAAGUAACUCACCGCUCGCAACACAUCUCAACGAUCCUCGUUCAUUGAUCAAAGGUAAGAAACGUCGUUUAAAAUAAGAGUAAACCAACAGAAUAUAUUGUGUAUAUUACAGGUAAUAGGCGUGUUGCGACUGCAUUUACGAAGCAUCCAUCGUUUAGUUAAAGGCGGUGGGAGUUUAUCCGCUGUUGUAAAGUGGGACGGUAAAUCAUGAAUGAACCUGCUCCUUAAAUAAAUUGCGUGUUCCAUUGACGUGUUUUACUGUUAAAUAAACUUUGUAGGUUUCUGACUGCUGUGACACUGACAUUACUAUAAUGUAGUACAAUUAAAUAACCGAUAAGUGGCUUGUUAUGAGAUGACAUGCUAAAUGACUGAACCUGCUUUAAAAAAAUGUAUUGCUUUCAUGUUGUAAUGGUCAGUCACCUUAUCAAUGCGAAAGUCUGUCUCGAUAUCUCACUAACAUGAGCAAUGCCCACUCGUGUAUGAACACGAUAGCUUAAAUAGAUAUGUUGUUAAACUACCAGCAAUUCUUAUGUGCCAUGACAACUAAGCAGUUAUCACAAAUUUUGCAGAUAUGCCAAUAAUCAUUCAACCAUGAAAGGUUUUUAUUUACAGACAGAACAGUUUGUUAUACCUGGAGGAAAAAACACUUUUAUCCCAAAUGUUAUCAAUGUUCUUUCAAAUUGUGUCUCUUUAUUGUUCUCCUGCAUCCUGCUGUUAAGCCACAAUGUGCAGCAAGAUUAUAACCUGAAAUGUCUUUAUUUGUGUUUGGAAUUCAUUUUGUGGCGUUCUGUAAGGGGCCACUUGGAUACCUUCUCCAGGACCCGUCAAAAGAAGCUUCUCAAGCUUCAGGACAAGUCUGCACCUGUGAGGGAGGACGAUGCUCUGACUGUCAUCUAUCAGAGAGGAGGGGAUGCCUCUGACAUGAAGGAAGUGCAGGGAGAGUACAUCCUGCAGUUUGGAAAAUAUAAAGGGAAAUCUUUCCGGUGACUUCUGGAGAUUGAUGUCGGGUACACCAUGAACCUGAUCAAAGAUCUCCAGAAGCAAGAGGCUGCAGGGACCUCUGUGGAAGAAGGGCAUGGCAAGGAGAGCUUGCAUUCAUUUGUACAGUAUACCCUCAGCUUUACAGAGUUAAAGACUCUUCUGGACUAGGAGACCAGCAGAGUGAGUUUUGCAGCAGAAGCCUCUGAGGAUGAUCAGCUGGUUGGCUUUGGUUCACGAGCCAAGAGCACCUGGAAGGAGAUUUGGGACGGCAGAGGUGACGGCUAUGCAGACUUUAUCAUGAGGAAGAGCUGCAGUCAAGGAACAUGGAUGCAUAAGCUGCAGUAGUACCUGUGGAAGAAGCAGCAGUUUGCGCCUGCUACUACAAAUGCCCCAACUAAACAACCUCUUGGGAUGGAUGAGGAUAAAGACCUGGAGGAUGCAAUGCUGAGCAUCUCACCUGUAAAACUACACAUACAGAGCUCAGCAGCAGGGUCCACACCCAGAGGAUCUUCAGGAGCAAACAAAGGUUUUCAAAUGAAAGGUUUCAGAACUGGAGUAAAAUAGUUUUACAUGAAUUGCUCUGCAAAGCUGAGCCUGAACGUGAACUUUUAUAUAUUGUCUUGUUCUUGUGCGUUCUGGCCAUGUUCCAGAGAUGUUCCUCUAAUAGUAUAGUUGUAUGCUGGCUGUAUGGUGGAAGAAAACAGUUGAUGUUGUACAUGAGACAGUUUUGUUCUAGUUGUGAAUGUUUCUUUUGUUUAUAUAAAUAAAAACUGAUUAUAAACAUAAAAGUGUAAAUAAAUAGUUUUCUGCAAAAAUAUCAACACAGUUUUCUUCUUAGAGUUCACCUAUAUGUUUAUAUAUCUGUGUGUGCUCACCAUCAG